GGUCACCAAACAUCGUGAACAAUCCACCGUUGGAUUCAACAGAUGUUCACAUUCCAUUACCAUUGCAAAACAGAAAUCUGAGUUAAUCUGUACUAGAUCCAAUCUUCGUUUAAAUUGUCCCUUCCGACCGCAUCUAUUCUUAUCGUGCCCCUUCUCCCACUGUCUCCCACGGCUUGUAAUGUACAUCGUUUCCGUCGUCCUGCAUAUGGGCGGAGAGAUAGGGUUUGGUUCGUCUUCCUUCCGAUCGAUCAACGCUUCGCCUUUUGCUUCGAUCCGUUGGAGAGGAUCCGAAGAGCAGCUCAUGCUGGAUCCAGGUACACCAGCAACGGUGAAUCUCUCAAACCCCUGCUACAUUUUGAUCUCUUGAGAAGCCAAUUAUGGAACGGAUUUUGAGGAGGAAGUAUUUGUGCUGCAUGUGCGUUUGCAUUGUUUGAUGUGAAAAAAUAUUAAGAAUCAAUCGAUUGAAUAUUGUUGGGAGAUGAAUUUUAGGUCAGAUAUUUCUGCCAUUGACAAACAGGUGGGUUAUUGUUGGGGGACAAAUAGGUAAUCGGCUCUUGGGAUAACGAAAAUAUAAAUUCAAAGGUUAACAUUUUAUUUUUAGAACAUUGGUUCAUGUAUGAUAUGCUUGGAUAGCUUGCUACUGUUUUGCAGAGAAAAUAUGUUGAGAAUAUCCCCCUUUCAGACCAAAAUUUCAAAGUGUCCUUUGGUACUUUUAGUAUAUGCAUCGAACCGAACUUAAAAAAAUGGCAUAUACAUCGAACCAGCAGAUCUUUGAUAAAAUGUGGCGCAUAUUUGGAGUACUACCUGUAGGAUUGAUGAAAUGGGUAGCUUAAAGUUGUGGUAAAAGAAAAUGUCAUAAGAAAUUCAUUGAGACCUCAAGGUGAAGAGUUAAUUUUACAAAUAUUAUAAAGUCGGUACCUUUUGGUUGGAUGUUGAGCCUGAAUAAUAGCCCAGUGGGUGGAGUAAAAAAUCAACUUUUACUUUGUAUUGUUUCCUGAGUAUGUCAACAUAGAUGUAUGAGAUUGAUUGAUAAUAAAGUGAAAUAGUGAAGAAAAUCUUAUUGAGUUUAGGAACAAAAGUAUUAUUCAGCGAUGGUAUUGAUGGAAAGACUGUGAGUAGUAUAGUGAGGACCGAACAUUAUGAUUGAAGUGAUUUACUUUGUUAAAUUAGGCAACUAAGUUUCUUCAGCUUAUCUUUCAUAUCCAGCAUGGUUUUUCUGUUUCGUAAUGGGUAAAGUGAUGAUAAAUGCACGUGCCUUAACGAUAUAAAGAUUUUAAAAGUUCAUCAGUAAUUUGCUAGAAUAAGUUUUUAAGGAGAUAUGAAUCUAAAAUGUUUCACAUGGUGUUUAUUUUUGUGGGAAGCUUCAAGCCUGUACACUCUUUAAAUUGCUUCUUGCUCUUUUCUGAGUCCAAGAAUUUGACAACCAAUGACCAAUCACCAAUUCUGAUUUCAAGAGCUCAAGGCUGGUUUAUCAUAAUAAAAAGAACAUGCAUAUGAAGACUAGGUUGACAAAUAGUUCAAUAAGUAUGACCUACAGCAUGAUUUAGAGUCCCACACACACAUUGUUUAGUUUGACAAAUGGUUCAAUGACCUACAGAAUAUGAUGCACUAACAACUAUGGUCAUACCAUUUUUUCUUCCUUUGCGGUUAUCCUAUAAAUGUUGUUCCCAUUUUAGUUGGUGCUGUUAACUCAGACAGUGAAGUCAUGUACGGACGAUGGCUUGCUUAGUAUGUGGACAAUCCUAAGAACUUGUGUGUCAUCAGAAUUCUGUACUUGGGGCUCUAGGUAUGCUCAUUCUCCUUUCUCUUUCAUUCUUUUUCACGUACAUUGAUCUAUUAGCUUAAUAUAGGUUUUCAAAGUCAAUAAAUUAGUCAUUGUUUCUGUUUUUAGAUUGGUUAAAAAGCCACUAUAGAACUUGCAUCCAACUUUAGAUUGAACACAACGCUCUGAGAAAUAUAUUAUAUGUCAACCCUUGUUCAACUUUUUGACAUGUAUUCAAGAGUGUGUGUGGACCUUGCGAUAUAUUUGGUGGUGAGCCUCCAUUGCAGCAAGCAGCAUGAAAACAAAAAACUGGAUUAUGAUUGAGAAAAGCUUGAUAUUGAUUAUGAUUGAGGCAACUAAAAAGUAGAAAACUAAAGCUAAUUUAUAUUCUCAGUAUUAUUCUUAUGGUUGAUUUUCAUGAAAACAGACUAGGGAUUUAAAUAUGAACCGAGAGCUGUAAAGAAUAUUAUGUUCCAGUAAGUUAUUGAUAUUGAUAUUUCUUACAUGGAUUAGCUGUCAAGGAACGUGUUCCAUCCUACACUGCUGGCUCAGCAUCAACCUUGUUGAAUCUGUAGAAACCAUGUACCAAAUUUUCAUGCAUGACUGUAAUAGGUGCAGUCAUACAUGACUAGAAGCAUGGUCCCAUUUACUAGUCCAUAGAGGCAUGGAUAUCAAAGAGACCGGAGAUGCUGAUUUGUUCAAGCGUUAUCUCCAAGACUAUGUCAAAACAAUCAGUGGCUACCAUCCCAUCAGCAUCUUCCUCCAUAUGCUAAAAGUUUCCUAGACACGAGCAAUCAAGCCAGGCCACAAGCAUGCGGGAGCAGCUGAGCUAUGCAUCAGCAGCUGCAUGGUAAAAUAGUUGACAUGAAUUCAGAAAUUGUUCGUCGAUGUGUUACGGUAUCUUUCCUAUUGAAGCUAUAUGGUACAUUCCUUGAAGCACAAACAUUCAGCAGUGGCCGGACUUCCGAUCCUCUUUAUAUAGCAUUUCAUGUAUCAUGUUGAAUCAGGUGCAUCCUAUUGCAAGCAAUCCAGGUAGUAAAUUUACAGGUUAUAAUGCUGAAAUAAUCUUCAGCGAUGACCUAUACCGCUAGUAAACUUGAACAAGGUUCCAAGUUCAUGCAUGGCUUGGAAUAGAACAGGUGUUUAAAUAGGUGCUCGAGCACUCGCCUAGGUGCUUGAGUGAGGCGAGGCGAGGCCCGAGCAGCGUGCUUCAAUGAAGCAUCACCUAGACGCUCGCCUGAACCUAGGUGCCAGGCACCUUGGGCAAGCGCCCAAUUGAAAUCAUGCAAUCGUUCGGUUGAACAGUAGCUAAUUAGUUCGAUUGAACCAAUUAAGCUAUAUAAAGUUAUUUUACUUGUAAAAACCCACCCCUUGUCGAUGAAUGAAUCCAAAGGUGUAGCUUUGUGCAUA